rnacentral:lncRNA from 1 species
GAGAAGAUAAUGAAGCAAAUGAGAUCUUUGGGGGCAAAAAUUCAAGAAAACCAAAGAAAGCUAAACGAGAAGAGCAGGAAAACCAACCAGAAGUCAUAUAAUGAAAUAGCUUAUUGGAGUGAGUCAGAGCAGUGGCACAUGCCCCAGUGUGUGAGCUCAGAGCUCAGUGCUCAACCCAUCACUGGACUAAUGGACAGAUUUCAUGACCUC